AGCCAGCUCAGCUGCAGAGAAUCAAUUAAUCCAGAGAGCCAAUUUUUUCUCCCACUUUUACUCUGGAAUUUGUUUGAAGCAAGCUUCACUUUAGCCCUUUCCCUUGGACUUUGGCUGUUGGAAGCUUGUUGUAUUUGUGCUGGUGCUCAAAGAAGUUGGAUAUUCUUUACCCUUGGAUAAUACUGAUGGUAUAUACCCCAAAAGUGUAAAAACACCUUAAUCUCCACCAAAGAGAGGACCUGGAGCGAAGGUAUUCUCUGAUGUGGGGGGGGGAACCUCUCUUUGGACCAAACCAUCAGGAAGAGUAACCUAUUGGCAGUUCCAUCUGAAACCUACAGGAAGCGAGGGCAAGUUGGCAAGAGAGGGUGAGAGAGAGGCCGUGUGAUCUGCAACUCUUCUCCUCAGACCCAAAAGAAGAAUGAAUGAAUUCGGUAGGGAAUUUGUGAUCAAGAGGGAAGACCUUCCUUCACCCCUCCCACCCCACAGACAAGAAGCUCUUUAUAAGGAGUGGAAGGAAACAGAGGGAAUAUGCCAAAGGAGUGAAUUGCAGUGAACAGCAAAUAUGAAUAUCUGGACAAGGACUAAUUUAUAUGGUCCCUGUCUGAGCCUGAUCCGAUGUGAAUCAUUUACAGCCCAGCUUCAGAUCCUUGGCUCUUCAGUUCAAGCUAUGGCAGCUCAUGCUUUUAGCUGUCGAGGUCACCACUUCAAUCUCUGGUGUGUUGGCCACGCUGGCAGCCAUCACAGUCAUUCACACUGAGUUUUGUUGACACUCCUGCAUAGGUCAAUAACAAUGUGGCUGUAAAGUUGACCUUUUGAUUUGGCUUCCACUGCCACGCGCUCUACCCGGCUGUUAAUAUCAACUGAACCUGUGGUAGAGAUCAUACUUUCCAUGCUCAGUGCCUCUGCUUUUCUUUCUGGUAUAACUUGUGUGACUGGGCCACUUACAAAAGAGAACAAGUGCCUCCAAAAUUGUAGCUCCAUGUCCCUGCUUGUUGCCAACCUGAAAUACAGCGAUACA